ensembl:snRNA U2 U2 spliceosomal RNA
AUCUGUUCUUAUCAGUUUAAUAUCUGAUAUGUCCUUUAUUUGAGGACUAUAUAUUAAAUUGAUUUUUGAAACGGGGCUGGAAUAGGAGCUUGCUCUGUCCACCACAUGCAUUGAUCUGGUAUUGCAGCACCUCCAGGACCAGUGC